rnacentral:rRNA from 1 species
CUGGUUGAUCCUGCCAGUAGUCAUAUGUUCGUUCAAGGGCUAAGCCAUGCAUGUCUCAGCGCAAAUGGAACAACAGUGGGUCUGUGAAUGGCUCCUUACAUCAGCAGUCAUCUCAGUGAUGGAGUGUGGAUGCCACCAAUGCCAAGGUGGCCAUUUGGACAUCCUCCAAAACCUAGUGGCUAAUACACGAACGGAACAGUCUGCCAUGCCAAGUUGUACCUGGGUUACGGGGCAACUGUGGUGGAUUGCACCCAGCUGGCUUCAAGACCUGCGGCCGCAAGGCCAGUGUGUCUCAGCUGACUCAAGCUGGUCCCAUGUGGACACAGCACUGGCUAGUAGAGUGGUUCAACACCACUGCUUGCCUGAUCACUCGAACUUCUGACCUAUCAGCUCUGACUGUGGUGUAGUGGACCACAGUGGCCAUGACGGGUAACGGAGAAUUUGGGUUCGACUCCGGAGAGGCAGCCUGAGAAACGGCUACCACUACCAAGGUGGGCAGCAGGCGCGCAAAUUGCCCAAUACCAAAGCACAAGGUGAGGCAGCGACGAACUGCAGCAAUUCUGCCUGGAUCAUUUCAGGCUGAACUUGGAAUGGAUGCUAUCCAAACACAGUGAUGAGUAGCCACUGGAGGGCAAGUCUGGUGCCAGCAGCUGCGGUAAUUCCAGCUCCAAGGGCGUAUACUAACAUUGCUGCGGUUAAAACACUUGUAGUCUGCCUUCGGGUACAGGUCUGGCAGGGCCAGCGACGGGCUUGUUGUCUGGAGUGUCUUGUGCGCUUCAGGUCUUCAGGUUCCGGCUGGAACACAAACCCUGUCAGUAUGUUCCUGUGCCCACCAACCAGGAUGGUGAGAAUUGCUCCUGCCUAAAGUCUCCUUCACUGGGGGCCUGAAGCGGCAUUGCUACCGCACGCGUGCGUGGACGUCAAGAGGCCAGUGGCCACAUGCCCUGGAUCAACCUCUGUCCGCCACCGGAGUCCACCAUCACUGACACCCUGGAAAACUCAGUGUGCUCAAAGCGUCCAGUCUUGGCUGGAUGCCUGUCCAUGGAAUGUCAAAGCAUCGACCGAACUUGGCAGUGGAGUUGUGCAGGCCUUGGUGCCAGUUCAGGAGAAUGUGGUGCCACACCCUGGCUCAGGGAACGGUAGCCUUCGGGUUGCCCAGUACCUGUCUUGGUGUUGUGGUAACCUACCGCCAAUGAUGGGACUGCUCAGGGUGGAAGGUAUUGGAGCGCCAGAGGUAAAAUUCUUAGACCGCUGCAAGACCAACUGCAGCGAAGGCGUUCUGCAAGAGCAUGUUCGUCGAUCAAGAAUGAGAGCUCGGGGAGCGAAGAUGAUCAGACACCAUCGUAGUCCGAAGCUGUAAACUAUGCCAGCUAGGCCUUGGUGAGGCAGAUUCCACAACCUCAUCAGUGCCAUGCCCCCUGCAACGAGAAAUCCAAGCCUGUGGGUUCCGGGGGGAGUACGGUCGCAAGGCUGAAACUUAAAGGAAUUGACGGAAUGGCACCACAAGGCGUGGAGUAUGCGGCUUAAUUUGACUCAACACGGGGAAUGUUACCAGGUCAGGACAUUGCCAGGAUGGACAGACUGCUAGCUCUUGCUUGAUUCGAUGGAUGGUGGUGCAUGGCCGCUCCUGAUUGGUGGAGUGAUUUGUCUGGUUGAUUCCGAUAACGAGUGAGAUCUCUGCCUUCCACUAGCCCCUGUCUCGCAUUUGUAGGAUGGCCGCUUGGAGCCCAGGUGCCGCCGGCUUGCUGUGGGUGCUAUGGACCUUGCUGGCCUCCGAGAGUUCAGGGUAGCUUCUCUGAGGUGCUGUGUACACUGCCAAGUGCACGCAUGCUAGAGCCAACAGCAGGUCUGUGAUGCUCCUAGAUGUUCUGGGCCGCACGCGCACUACAUUGACACAGUGAAUGUGUGUUGCUCCUCAUGGAGCCCUGGCCAGAAGUGGCUGGGAAAUCAUGCAAGCCUGUGCUGUACUGGGGAUAGAUGAUUGCAACUGUCUGCCUUGAACGAGGAAUGCCUAGUAUGCGUGAGUCAUCAGCUCACACAGAUUGCGUCCCUGCCAUUUGUACACACCGCCCGUCGUUGCUACCGACGGCAGCUGGAUAGAGCCAUCAGGAGGCCAAAGGCACUCGUUGUCUGAGCUGAAAUUGGGCAAUGUCCAGUUGCUGAAGGAAGCAAAAGUCGUAACAAGGUUGCUGUAGGUGAACCUGCA